CCUACGGUGUGCUGCAGUGAGGAAUAUUGGUCAAUGGCCGGAAGGCUGAACCAGCCAUGCCGCGUGAAGGUCAGUGCCCUAUGGGCGUUAAACUUCUUUUGUGCGGGAGCAAUAAUGGUCACGUGUGGCCAGACGAGAGUACCGUACGAAUAAGCAUCGGCUAACUCCGUGCCAGCAGCCGCGGUAAUACGUAGGGGGCUAGCGUUGUCCGGAAUUACUGGGCGUAAAGGGAGUGUAGACGGCUUGUCAAGUUAAGUGUGAAAGCCUGCGGCUUAACCGCAGAAUUGCACUUAAAACUGACUCGCUAGAGUGCAGGAGAGGUGAGUGGAAUUCCUAGUGUAGCGGUGGAAUGCGUAGAUAUUAGGAGGAACACCAGAGGCGAAGGCGGCUCACUGGACUGUAACUGACGUUGAGGCUCGAAAGCGUGGGGAGCAAACAGGAUUAGAUACCCUAGUAGUC
rnacentral:rRNA from 1 species